rnacentral:rRNA from 1 species
GGGAUUCUACACAUGCAGUCGAGCGAGCUCUUCGGAGCUAGCGGCGGACGGGUUAGUAACGCGUGGGAACGUGCCCUUCACUGCGGAAUAGCCACUGGAAACGGUGAGUAAUACCGCAUACGCCCUUCGGGGGAAAGAUUUAUCGGUGAAGGAUCGGCCCGCGUUAGAUUAGAUAGUUGGUGGGGUAACGGCCUACCAAGUCUACGAUCUAUAGCUGGUUUUAGAGGAUGAUCAGCAACACUGGGACUGAGACACGGCCCAGACUCCUACGGGAGGCAGCAGUGGGGAAUCUUGGACAAUGGGCGCAAGCCUGAUCCAGCCAUGCCGCGUGAGUGAUGAAGGCCUUAGGGUCGUAAAGCUCUUUCGCCAGAGAUGAUAAUGACAGUAUCUGGUAAAGAAACCCCGGCUAACUCCGUGCCAGCAGCCGCGGUAAUACGGAGGGGGUUAGCGUUGUUCGGAAUUACUGGGCGUAAAGCGCACGUAGGCGGAUCAGAAAGUUGGGGGUGAAAUCCCGGGGCUCAACCCCGGAACUGCCUCCAAAACUCCUGGUCUUGAGUUCGAGAGAGGUGAGUGGAAUUCCGAGUGUAGAGGUGAAAUUCGUAGAUAUUCGGAGGAACACCAGUGGCGAAGGCGGCUCACUGGCUCGAUACUGACGCUGAG